rnacentral:rRNA from 1 species
GAUGAACGCUGGCGGCGUGCCUAAUACAUGCAAGUCGAGCGAAUGGAUUAAGAGCUUGCUCUUAUGAAGUUAGCGGCGGACGGGUGAGUAACACGUGGGUAACCUGCCCAUAAGACUGGGAUAACUCCGGGAAACCGGGGCUAAUACCGGAUAACAUUUUGAACCGCAUGGUUCGAAAUUGAAAGGCGGCUUCGGCUGUCACUUAUGGAUGGACCCGCGUCGCAUUAGCUAGUUGGUGAGGUAACGGCUCACCAAGGCAACGAUGCGUAGCCGACCUGAGAGGGUGAUCGGCCACACUGGGACUGGGACACGGCCCAGACUCCUACGGGAGGCAGCAGUAGGGAAUCUUCCGCAAUGGACGAAAGUCUGACGGCGCAACGCCGCGUGAGUGAUGAAGGCUUUCGGGUCGUAAAACUCUGUUGUUAGGGAAGAACAAGUGCUAGUUGAAUAAGCUGGCACCUUGACGGUACCUAACCAGAAAGCCACGGCUAACUACGCGCCAGCCGCCGCCGUAA